ACUACGUGACCAUCCUCGUCCCCAGGCCCAAGCUCGGGCGGCCCCCACUGUGAGGGCCGCCCGAGCUUGGGCCUGGGGACGAGGAUGACUACGUG